rnacentral:miRNA from 1 species
UGUACUUUGUUAUUUACUC